AGCUUUGCGCAGUGGCAGUAUCGUAGCCAAUGAGGUUUAUCCGAGGCGCGAUUAUUGCUAAUUAAAAUUUCCUCAUCAUUUUCGAAGAUUCUAUAGGGUAUAUUCCAUUUUAUGAAUAUACUAUUUUAU
rnacentral:snRNA from 1 species